CUAGCGUUGCUCGGAAUGACUGGGCGUAAAGGGCGCGUAGGCGGCGAUCACAGUCAGAUGUGAAAUUCCUGGGCUUAACCUGGGGGCUGCAUUUGAUACGUGGUUGCUUGAGUGGGGAAGAGGGUCGUGGAAUUCCCAGUGUAGAGGUGAAAUUCGUAGAUAUUGGGAAGAACACCGGUGGCGAAGGCGGCGACCUGGUCCUUGACUGACGCUGAGGCGCGAAAUCGUGGGGAGCAAACAGG
rnacentral:rRNA from 1 species